rnacentral:rRNA from 1 species
GUGAUUCCGAGUAACGCUUGCACCCUCCGUAUUACCGCGGCUGCUGGCACGGAGUUAGCCGGUGCUUAUUCGUUAGAUACCGUCAUUAUCUUCUCUAACAAAAGGAGUUUACAAUCCUAAAACCUUCAUCCUCCACGCGGCGUUGCUGCUUCAGGGUUUCCCCCAUUGAGCAAUAUUCCCUACUGCUGCCUCCCGUAGGAGUCUGGACCGUGUCUCAGUUCCAGUGUGUCCGUUCACCCUCUCAGGCCGGAUACCCGUCAUAGCCUUGGUAAGCCAUUACCUUACCAACAAGCUGAUAGGACAUAGGCUGAUCUCUUAGCGAUAAAUCUUUCCCCCGUAGGGAGUAUCUGGUAUUAAUCAUCGUUUCCAAUGGCUAUCCCAAACUAAGAGGCACAUGACCUAUGCGUUACUCACCCGUGCGCCACUAAUCCACUUCUAGCAAGCUAGAAGCUUCAUCG